rnacentral:rRNA from 1 species
GAUGAACGCUAGCUGCAGGCUUAACACAUGCAAGUCGAGGGGAAACGACAUCGAAAGCUUGCUUUUGAUGGGCGUCGACCGGCGCACGGGUGAGUAACGCGUAUCCAACCUGCCCACCACUUGGGGAUAACCUUGCGAAAGUAAGACUAAUACCCAAUGAUAUCCCACGAAGACAUCUGAAUGGGAUUAAAGAUUUAUCGGUGAUGGAUGGGGAUGCGUCUGAUUAGCUUGUUGGCGGGGUAACGGCCCACCAGGGCAACGAUCAGUAGGGGUUCUGAGAGGAAGGUCCCCCACAUUGGAACUGAGACACGGUCCAAACUCCUACGGGAGGCAGCAGUGAGGAAUAUUGGUCAAUGGGCGAGAGCCUGAACCAGCCAAGUAGCGUGCAGGAAGACGGCCCUAUGGGUUGUAAACUGCUUUUAUAAGGGAAUAAAGUGGGUCACGUGUGACUUUUUGCAUGUACCUUAUGAAUAAGGACCGGCUAAUUCCGUG